rnacentral:rRNA from 1 species
CCUACGGGUGGCAGCAGUGAGGAAUAUUGGUCAAUGGGCGUAAGCCUGAACCAGCCAAGUCGCGUGAGGGAUGACGGUUCUAUGGAUCGUAAACCUCUUUUAUAAGGGAAUAAAGUGUGGGACGUGUCCUAUUUUGUAUGUACCUUAUGAAUAAGGAUCGGCUAACUCCGUGCCAGCAGCCGCGGUAAUACGGAGGAUCCGAGCGUUAUCCGGAUUUAUUGGGUUUAAAGGGUGCGUAGGCGGCCCUUUAAGUCAGCGGUGAAAGUCUGUGGCUCAACCAUAGAAUUGCCGUUGAAACUGGGGGGCUUGAGGAUGGUUGAGGCAGGCGGAAUUCGUGGUGUAGCGGUGAAAUGCUUAGAUAUCACGCAGAACCCCGAUUGCGAAGGCAGCCUGCCAAGCCAUGACUGACGCUGAUGCACGAAAGCGUGGGGAUCAAACAGGAUUAGAUACCCCAGUAGUC